rnacentral:rRNA from 1 species
AAAGCGGUCUAGUAUAAGCAAUUAUACCGCGAAACUGCGAAUGGCUCAUUAAAUCAGUUAUCGUUUAUUUGAUAGUACCUUACUACAUGGAUAACCGUGGUAAUUCUAGAGCUAAUACAUGCUAAAAACCCCAACUCACGAAGGGGUGUAUUUAUUAGAUUAAAAACCAAUGCCCUUCGGGGCUUCUUGGUGAUUCAUAAUAACUUCUCGAAUCGCAUGGCCUUGCGCCGGCGAUGGUUCAUUCAAAUUUCUGCCCUAUCAACUUUCGAUGGCAGGGUCUUGGCCUGCCAUGGUUACAACGGGUAACGGAGGGUUAGGGCUCGACCCCGGAGAAGGAGCCUGAGAAACGGCUACUACAUCCAAGGAAGGCAGCAGGCGCGCAAAUUACCCAAUCCCGACUCGGGGAGGUAGUGACAAUAAAUACUGAUACAGGGCUCUUUUGGGUCUUGUAAUUGGAAUGAGUACAAUUUAAAUCCCUUAACGAGGAACAAUUGGAGGGCAAGUCUGGUGCCAGCAGCCGCGGUAAUUCCAGCUCCAAUAGCGUAUAUUAAAGUUGUUGCAGUUAAAAAGCUCGUAGUUGAACCUUGGGCCUGGCUGGCCGGUCCGCCUCACCGCGUGCACUGGUUCGGCCGGGCCUUUCCCUCUGGGGAACCGCAUGCCCUUCACUGGGUGUGUCGGGGAACCAGGACUUUUACUGUGAAAAAAUUAGAGUGUUCAAAGCAGGCCUAUGCUCGAAUACAUUAGCAUGGAAUAAUAGAAUAGGACGUGUGGUUCUAUUUUGUUGGUUUCUAGGACCGCCGUAAUGAUUAAUAGGGACAGUCGGGGGCGUCAGUAUUCCGUUGUCAGAGGUGAAAUUCUUGGAUUUACGGAAGACUAACUACUGCGAAAGCAUUCGCCAAGGAUGUUUUCAUUAAUCAGGAACGAAAGUUAGGGGAUCGAAGACGAUCAGAUACCGUCGUAGUCUUAACCAUAAACUAUGCCGACUAGGGAUCGGGCGAUGUUAUUAUUUGACUCGCUCGGCACCUUACGAAAAAUCAAAGUCUUUGGGUUCUGGGGGGAGUUUGGUCGCAAGGCUGAAACUUUAAAGAAAUUGACGGAAGGGACCACCAGGGGGGGGUCUGCGGGGUUAUUGGACCCACCCGGGAAAAAACCCCAGGACAAAAAAAAAAAGGAAUGAAGGAAUGUAACCCUUUUCUUUUUUUUUGGGGGGGGGCGAGGGGCCCCCUAAAGGGGGAGGUUUUUGGGGGUUUUGUAAA